GGCGUCCUCACUGGAGAGAGACGGGGCGGACCUUGCGGUCGAGCCCGUCCACCGAAGGGGCAAGCCGCCGGCCAACCGCCGACGGCCAAUCUCUCAGGUAAAGCGGACAGCGAGGGCAUC
rnacentral:ncRNA from 2 species